GCACUUCCGGGGCCCGCGUCCCCCGGCGGCUUCGCCGAGAAGGGGCUUUGGGAGCUUAAGGGCGCCGGCACGCGUUCCCCUGGCGCAGAGCUCGCUAGCCGGGGCGCGGGCUGCCUCCUUGUUCUGGUGUGAUCCGAAUGUAACGGAGCGGACUUUGGGAUCCAGAACCCCGGACUGAGGUUGUGCUUGGCUUGAGGGGCGGGCUGGUAGGUCAGCCCCCUUGGGGCGUCGUUGGUCCUCUCCAGGCGUGUCACAUUCUGCCCGCACAUGGUGCCUUGGUACUCCCCAAAAGUCAUGCCUUGAUUUUUCUUACUAAUAAUAGUUUACACUGUUUUACCGCUUCACUGCUUCACCUGCAGUUCCUGAUACUGGUUUUUCUACAUGCUUCAGCCAAAGACAUAUACUCUUUGAUCCCUGAGAACACUAUUUCCUCAGUGUCUUUGCACAUGGAGUUCACUUCUCUGCUUGUGAAGUCUAUGAAUAUUGCAUGGCUGAUUUGUCACAAUUUUAAGUCUUCAACAUCUGGAGUGUUCUGGCAAGAAUUUGUAGGAAAAAUUUUUGAAUCAUCAGAUUACCAUAGCACAACCUUGGAGAAUAAAACUCUUUUGCUCUGAAGCUCAUCUAAUAACCUGAUAUCUCUCAAAUGAAUCUAUCCAAUGACAGGGAAUACCCCAUGUUAAACAGCUGAUUCUUGUUCUGAAUACGUUUAUUAUCUUGUAGUUAGUAAAUAAAUCAAUUGGACCCUUAA
rnacentral:lncRNA from 1 species